rnacentral:rRNA from 1 species
GACGAACGCUAGCGGCGUGCCUAAUACAUGCAAGUAGAACGCUGAAGAGAGGAGCUUGCUCUUCUUGGAUGAGUUGCGAACGGGUGAGUAACGCGUAGGUAACCUGCCUUGUAGCGGGGGAUAACUAUUGGAAACGAUAGCUAAUACCGCAUAACAAUGGAUGACACAUGUCAUUUAUUUGAAAGGGGCAAUUGCUCCACUACAAGAUGGACCUGCGUUGUAUUAGCUAGUAGGUGAGGUAAUGGCUCACCUAGGCGACGAUACAUAGCCGACCUGAGAGGGUGAUCGGCCACACUGGGACUGAGACACGGCCCAGACUCCUACGGGAGGCAGCAGUAGGGAAUCUUCGGCAAUGGGGGCAACCCUGACCGAGCAACGCCGCGUGAGUGAAGAAGGUUUUCGGAUCGUAAAGCUCUGUUGUAAGUCAAGAGCGGGUGUGAGAGUGGAAAGUUCACACUGUGACGGUAGCUUACCAGAAAGGGACGGCUAACUACGUGCCAGCAGCCGCGGUAAUACGUAGGUCCCGAGCGUUGUCCGGAUUUAUUGGGCGUAAAGCGAGCGCAGGCGGUUUGAUAAGUCUGAAGUUAAAGGCUGUGGCUCAACCAUAGUUCGCUUUGGAAACUGUCAAACUUGAGUGCAGAAGGGGAGAGUGGAAUUCCAUGUGUAGCGGUGAAAUGCGUAGAUAUAUGGAGGAACACCGGUGGCGAAAGCGGCUCUCUGGUCUGUAACUGACGCUGAGGCUCGAAAGCGUGGGGAGCGAACAGGAUUAGAUACCCUGGUAGUCCACGCCGUAAACGAUGAGUGCUAGGUGUUGGAUCCUUUCCGGGAUUCAGUGCCGCAGCUAACGCAUUAAGCACUCCGCCUGGGGAGUACGACCGCAAGGUUGAAACUCAAAGGAAUUGACGGGGGCCCGCACAAGCGGUGGAGCAUGUGGUUUAAUUCGAAGCAACGCGAAGAACCUUACCAGGUCUUGACAUCCCGAUGCUAUUUCUAGAGAUAGAAAGUUACUUCGGUACAUCGGUGACAGGUGGUGCAUGGUUGUCGUCAGCUCGUGUCGUGAGAUGUUGGGUUAAGUCCCGCAACGAGCGCAACCCCUAUUGUUAGUUGCCAUCAUUCAGUUGGGCACUCUAGCGAGACUGCCGGUAAUAAACCGGAGGAAGGUGGGGAUGACGUCAAAUCAUCAUGCCCCUUAUGACCUGGGCUACACACGUGCUACAAUGGUUGGUACAACGAGUUGCGAGUCGGUGACGGCGAGCUAAUCUCUUAAAGCCAAUCUCAGUUCGGAUUGUAGGCUGCAACUCGCCUACAUGAAGUCGGAAUCGCUAGUAAUCGCGGAUCAGCACGCCGCGGUGAAUACGUUCCCGGGCCU